AAACUGUCCCUGCACACUACACACUCGCUCAGGCAGUCUUUAAGAAUCUCAUCAGCUCCCCUUAGACAUGAAAAAGAUCUAUCUGCAUAUCUGAGAGCUAACUUAGCUGCGUAAUUAUAUUUGCCAUUAGAAGACUGCGUCCCACUCUCCUUAUUGGUUUGAAAUUCCAUUAAAUAUAUUGCUCGAGCUCCCAGGUUAAGCUUGAUUUAAAUUUGCAUACAUUUUCAUACAUUUAGGAGAAAUAAAAGAAGGCUGCAGCCACCAGAAAGUCAUUAAAGAGCGCUGAGCCGAGGAGCUGCUGGUGGAGAAGGGGACAGAGAGGAGGAGGAGGCCGGGGCAGGUGAGCUGACCGCGGGCUGAAUGUGUGGACAAGGCCGCUGGAGGCUGGACGGGGCCUCGGUAACCGAAGGAAUGACAGACAGCGGCUGUGGGGAAGGGUGAUGACAGACCAGUGUGUAGCCUCGUGUUGUUGGAGGAUUUCGGUCUGUGGAUGGAUGUGAAGUUAUCCAAAACAUGUCGGUUGUAUAUUAGUUGUUGUGUUCUAAUUCCAGUGUGGUGCCACGCGUGAAUUCUUCAUGUGGUUUACUCUUUGAAAUUUCCGUGAAAGUGACUGAAUAUUUGAUGGGAAUGGCACGGUUCUUCUUCUGGUGGCCUAGUUUGUUGAACUGGAUUUCUUUCUUUGGAGUCGUUGUGGGAUGAAAUCGUGCAGAAUUGUUUAUACGAAUUAUGAAAUUUGAGCAGAAUAGAAGCAGUGGUAUUCCAGCACAAUACCUCCAUUUCAUUGCCUGUCAUGUUAAGUGACAGCCAAAGCAAAUUGAUUUUGGAGGAUGAAUUUCCAAUCGAGAGUAAAAUGUGUUCCAAAAACUGUUUUGAUGAAAUCUGAGCCAGCAUAGCAGGUGAUGAGACAGUUUUAAAGUUCUAAAAUCGUCCAAACAGCUUUUACGCCCCAGAUCGCUAAAAAGAUAUCCAUUUAAUAUUUUUAUUUCGUUACAAAAUAAAGUGUGCAUUUUAGGGCGCAUAAAGCAGACAGGGUAAGGAGUUGGAGAGGGGGUUGUAUUGCUCUCGAUAGUCUAAGUUUCUAAGUGUAACAGAUGCUUCUCUAGAAACGCUCCUUGUGCUGAUUCCUUUUAUUCACAUCAACAUUUUUCUGCCGUCGAGCGCGUUUCCAUAGCGAGGCGAAUAAAAGGCAAAUCCCCGCUCCGCGCCUCCAAUAAAGAGCCCAUUCACAGAUAACCCGAGCCAGCCCUGCUACACUUACACCAGGCAGCACUGCAGGCUCUCUGUGCCGAGCUGCACAUUACUGCAAAAUAACACAAACUAAUGACGCAUAAUUUCUGUAAUUUUGUCUUUAUAAAAUGACACUUUACGGCUGUUUGUCCUGUUUGUUUAGCUGCCUGUUUGCUGUUUAUUCGUCGGCUUUGAGUAAAUCUUUGGGUGAUUAUCUUCUGACUCAGAUUAUUUGCUGCAGGCAGUGGGGUAAAUACAAAGAUUUGUUCAAUGUAAACCGUCAGCAGGUGAACUUUAACAUGCAAACAAUGAAAUGGAUCUGUUUUUAAGGAAAGAUUGGACACAUUUCACUCUGAAACAACGCUCUGCUCUUAGAGUAUAACGCUUAAAUUUGCAUUGUAUUCAUUUGAUAUGACACAGACAAUCGUUGUUCUGGUUUAAAGGCUGCUUCAAUUUAAUCUCCACUGUUCACUGUUUGCAAAAUAGGAACCUGUGCGUUUUUAUCCGAGUCGAUUGAAAUGUACUUAAACUUAUUUCUGCAGAGCACUGAUUUUCUAAAUUAAAUAACACAAUUCAGUCUUGAAAACAUAUACUCUUUACUGUAGAGGUUUGACUGUCUGUCUUUUUCAGCGCUUGUCAUGUUGAGGAAGCCCUUACAUAAUGUUUUCUCUCAAUGUCAUAAUUCAGUGGUGACGGUAUUUUGCUGUUGCUUCUCUUAGACAAUUAAAGCGUUUUGUGAAAAUCUAUAAAAUAUCACGAGAACAUGUGCGCAGUUUAGUGGAGCGUUUUUAAGAUUUUUUUAAGAGAAAUUUUAUUCUUUUUUUUUUUUUGUCCCGUUAAAGACUUUCUUUUUUUGCCUAUAAAUACUCUGCUCUCCGGUUUAAUGCGCCAUGCUGCAGCCUUUAGAUAAAUCAGCUUUAGUCUGCUGCAGAGACAGCCGUGGGCCUCAGGGCGGGACCUGUCACGCAGUGUCAUGACCUUUGAAAACUUUCCCUAUGAAGCUUAAAUCUCUGCUCCUGCGCGCAAGAUAUGGCCUCAAGUUAAAGAUUUUACAACUGCAACAAAUCAAUGCGUAUUUUCUCUCAUUAUUAACGUGGGAAACCUCUUCAUUCUGGGCCAGGUUUGAAGUGGAUCAAAAGGAAGAAAAUGGGCCUUUAGUAUUUUUUUAAAGAGCGCGCAAGUCUGAGGUUUUAAUCCUCUAGUUUGAUUUGCCAUAAAGAGUUUAAAUUUUCUUUUAAUCCCGAGCAUCGGUGUCAUAUCAGAUGGUAAACGCAGUUGUUUUCUCAUCCCUGGCACCGACACUCACUUCACAGGCUCCCAGACAGUCAAAUCGAUAUUCCCAUUAACCCGUGACGUCGCUAAUAAAGGACAGUGACACCGUGUUUGAACAGCACAGCCCUUCAAAAACAAACCCCAAAUUAAUCUCACAUCUUGUCGCUGACAACCAGUUUGUUUUCAGCAGCGACUUGAAACAAAAAGCGUGUGUUUCAGCUCUUUCUGAUGGAUGAGAGCAGCCUGUCCUAGGUGUCCAUCUGUCAGUCAUGCAAGCCUCACCUCUGCCUGUGUGUUCAUGUGUGUGUGUGUAAAUGUGAGUGUGGGGUGUGUGUGUGUGUCCAGCAGCGGUUAAGAAGAGGAAAUACAUUGGACACAGCAAUGAAUAAAUGUAAAGGAAGCUAAAAAUCAUCCCAUGAGAGCAUACAAGUGUAAAUGUACAUUCAUAAUGCAUGAGGCCCGGUGCGUUUGUUUGGUCUGCAGCGCGAGACUCCUGUUCAUUGGAUUGUGUGUGCGUGGUGCGUGUGUGUUUUCACGUCAAAGCUGAUGAGUUUUUGAUUUCAACACUACCUUGAAGUUCAUGAGUUUUUACAAAACCUUACUCUACGUAUGGAAACAGAAUAUCAAAUGUCUUUUCAUUUGAGUGUUUUCCUCCUCCACAGGCAGCAUCUGUUCAAACUGGUUGAAUUUGCACGUUUUCACGAAUUUUAGCAAUGAAAAACUCGACCUGUGGAAAUCUAGAUGAUAUAUAUGAAACUUUAAUUCAAGGUUGAAAAAUCUCAUAAUAUUUUGGAUUAAUGCAAGACAAAUAAACGAGCUUCUUAAAGUAGUCGAAUUGUAUUGUUUUGGUUUGCUUUCCUUACAAAGGCGCGCAAUCUUAUUUUUGAUUGCGGAUUUUACGCACUAAUUAAUCCCGCGGAGGAAAAGCAACUAAUUAAAGAUAAGAGAUUUACAAAGCUGUUAUGGAUUCAUGUGAUCAGAUAGGUGUGUGUUUUAUAUUUCAAAGAAAAAUACAUAGUAAGAUUCUACCUCUUACUUUACACGACUGCACAGAAAAUCACACCAGCCAAUCUCAAACCAGCAACGCCCUGGAAAAGCGCUAAUAUUUGGUGAUUUUUAAAGUGACACCGGAUCCCCAAUGACACCGUGUUUUAAUCUCUGGGUAAGAAUCAUAUUCAGUUAAAAAUAAAUCAAGGAAAAAUACAACAGCGAGCCUCGCUAUCUUUCUCAAGUAGAUCCGCGGAGAGAUAUCAGACCCAGAGGGUUUUGAAUUUUAUGGAAAUCUGAAUGAGCUUUAGUGUCAUUUUAUUGACCUUCAUAACAAUACUGCCAGAGUAAAGAUACAUUUUGAACACCCUGGAUGCUUUUUUUAAUCAGAUCCAGGUGUUUUGAAUUUCGAAUUUACCUCAAAAUUCAGGUCAUUUAAUUUCCUGGAACAACCAAAAGACACCAAAGUGCAAAGUAAAGUUUCAAUUAAAUGUCCUAGGUCUUCAUAUUAGUAUUCCAGUUGUGGUGGGGGGGAAAAAAAAGCGUAAAAUUAUUUUUGGUGUGGAGUUAAUUAGAAAAUGUAUUCAAUCAAAACAACACACAGGCCUGAGGUCAGGGAGUCUUUCAGCUCCUGGAAAUGUCUCCAAGAACAAACAAGCAAUCCAAGAAAAUUAUUUUUAUUAUCUCCAAGAAUUUGAAACACCUCAGAAAAAAAAUGAAACUGUUUGUCCCUUUUGCCUUUCUUUAAACAAAGCCAGUGUUUGUCAAAGAGAUUAUUCAAUUCAUUCUGCUCUGAGUGUGUGUGUGUGUGUGUGUGCGUGUGUGUGUAAUGUUUGUGUGUGUGUCUGUGUUACAGGUGCUGUUUGCAGUAGAAGCCAGUGUAUUGUCCCUGGGUCAGCGAGGGAGCCAAGGUUGGUAAAAAAUCUACAUAACAUUACCAUCUGUUAAACUUCAAACUGCUCACACACAAAACACACACACACACACAGACACACACAUGCGGAUGAACACACAGUAUCCUGUAAACAAUGAGCUGUGAAGAAGAGUAGAGAGUCUAUAGAAAUGUAAUGUACGCUCUUCAGGCCCUCUUAGCUCCUCUCCCACAUCCUCCUUCUUCUUCUCUUCUCCUGCGCUGAGAGCAGAGAAGAGCUCGGGGUUGAGGCCUCAGCCGGGCACCAACGAGGAAGAGAACAGACUCAGGAGCAGCAAGAGGACAGACUUGUUGUGGAAACCUCUGCGCUUCAAAAAAAUCUACCUUUUCUCUCAGAAACUGGCCUGUCUGAUGAACAAACCAUGGCGAAUUUCAUGCAGAAUAUGAGCGUGUACUCAGCUGCAGCUAUAUAACCAACCACCAUACUUUCCCCUGUGGCCCCCCCCACACACACACACAUGCACACUUGUACAUGCACGCACACACACACAGGUUCCCUCUGAAGGAGCAGGCGGAGCCGGGAGUUGCACAUCUGCAUUUCAAACACAGACUCUCUGGGAUUCAUUAUUAAUUAGCCUGCUGAGCCCUGGAGGACUGGUGAUGCUGCCGUCACACACACACACUUAAACACAGACACCCUAAAACGCACACACACAUACAUUAACACGCACACAUGCACACACCUCAUGACCCCUUUGCCCCCUCUGCUCUACAGUUAGAGAGUCCUCACCAGAAUACUGAGCCGUGCAUGAGCGUCCCUCCCUCCAAUCACAUCACUUCCCCUGAUUUCUCAGCUUAAUGUUUGCUAAAGGAUGAUGAAUUACAGGAGGAGGUGGUUUUUAUUGAGCUGAGCAUACUGUAACUGUGUUUAAAAAACCAUAUUCGAUGGAGUUGUUUAGCACAGCAUAGUGUCUUAAAUGGAAUAUGUGUGAAGAUUACAGGAG